rnacentral:rRNA from 1 species
AUAUCAAUAAGCGGAGGAAAAGAAACCAACAGGGAUUGCCUCAGUAACGGCGAGUGAAGCGGCAAGAGCUCAAAUUUGAAAGCUGGCUCCUUCGGGGUCCGCAUUGUAAUUUGCAGAGGAUGCUUCGGGAGCGGCCCCCAUCUAAGUGCCCUGGAACGGGCCGUCAUAGAGGGUGAGAAUCCCGUAUGGGAUGGGGUGCCCGCGACCAUGUGAAGCUCCUUCGACGAGUCGAGUUGUUUGGGAAUGCAGCUCUAAAUGGGUGGUAAAUUUCAUCUAAAGCUAAAUAUUGGCCGGAGACCGAUAGCGCACAAGUAGAGUGAUCGAAAGAUGAAAAGCACUUUGAAAAGAGAGUUAAAAAGCACGUGAAAUUGUUGAAAGGGAAGCGCUUGCGACCAGACUCGCCCGCGGGGUUCAGCCGGUAUUCGUACCGGUGUACUUCCCCGCGGGCGGGCCAGCGUCGGUUUGGGCGGCCGGUCAAAGGCCCUCGGAAUGUAACGCCUCUCGGGGCGUCUUAUAGCCGAGGGUGCCAUGCGGCCAGCCCGGACCGAGGAACGCGCUUCGGCACGGACGCUGGCAUAAUGGUCGUAAGCGACCCGUCUUGAAACACGGACC